UUAGAACUGCGACAGUGAGAAUGAGGGCUGCUUCAAAGCUGACAAAAUUCCUACAAAGAAAGUGCCUGUAAGAGCACUGCCUCCUAUACUGUGUUAUCCCCAAUUUCUUCUAUUUUGAAGGGAAAGCAUUGGGAGAGGCUAUCCAAAUAUGUGCAAUGAAAUCAACAGCAUGCUGAUGACACCCAGCUCUGUUUCUCCUUUCCAUCUGAAGAUUGAUGUGGAGACAGAAUGGAACAGACUUAUGAAUACAUGAAAAAUGGACACAUGCUGGAAAUAGACCAAUCUGCCCAUCCCUCUCUUCUGCAUAAGAAGAAUAAUCUCCCCACAGUCUGUUAGACACAGGUGGGGCAUCACAAUAUAGUAACAAAUAAAGUCACUGUGGGGCUACCACACAAUGGCUAAAAUGUGCACAAAGCAUGCUUAUGUUAUUGUGCGCAAAGGCCCAGCAAUUAAAAUGCAUUACGAUUCAACAUUAUGUCAGAUAGGCAGCAGCAUUUGUGCAAACUGCUUCAGAUAUUCUAUAGAAUCUGAAAGUUUCAAGAUUGCUCCUGAAGAAGGAAUCUCUUCCAAAUCCCAAGAAGGAAUCUCUGUUCCACAUUACUGAGCUGUAAUA